rnacentral:rRNA from 1 species
GGGGCCGCAUUCAUGCGGGACCGUGAUGAGGGACUCCAAGUGCUAGCAAAUUUUUUGCUAGCUGUUUUUAUGCCUAAAAAGCAUGUAGAGUAAGAGCUGGGUAAGACUGGUGCCAGCCGCCGCGGUAAUACCAGCAGCUCGAGUGGUGAUCGGUAUUAUUGGGCCUAAAGCGUCCGUAGCCGGUCUGGUAAACCCUUGGGUAAAUCGGGCAGCUUAACUGUUCGAAUUCCGGGUAGACUGAUAGGCUUGGGACCGGGAGAAGCUAGAGGUACUCUUGGGGUAGAGGUGAAAUCCUGUAAUCC